UACGGGGGGGGGCAAGCGUUGUUCGGAAUUACUGGGCGUAAAGCGCACGUAGGCGGCUUUGUAAGUUAGAGGUGAAAGCCCGGGGCUCAACUCCGGAAUUGCCUUUAAGACUGCAUCGCUAGAAUUGUGGAGAGGUAAGUGGAAUUCCGAGUGUAGAGGUGAAAUUCGUAGAUAUUCGGAAGAACACCAGCGGCGAAGGCGACUUACUGGACACAUAUUGACGCUGAGGUGCGAAAGCGUGGGGAGCAAACAGG
rnacentral:rRNA from 1 species